UCGUUGUAGCAAUACGAUGGAAAAUUUAGUGGCGAACGGGUGCUUAACACGUGGGCAACCUGCCAGGAAGUGGGGGAUAGCUCGCCGAAAGGCGAAUUAAUACCGCAUGUGAUUAGAGAGGACAUCCUUUCGAAAUUAAAGUCGGGGCAACCUGACGCUUCUUGUGGGGCCCGCGGCCUAUCAGCUAGUUGGUGAGGUAACGGCCCACCAAGGCUUUGACGGGUAGCUGGUCUGAGAGGACGACCAGCCACACUGGGACUGAGACACGGCCCAGACACCUACGGGUGGCAGCAGUCGAGAAUUUUUGACAAUGGGGGAAACCCUGAUCGAGCGACGCCGCGUGGAGGAUGAAGGUCUUCGGAUUGUAAACUCCUGUCAUUGGGGAACAAUGCACAGAUAUUAACUGUAUUUGUGUUGAUAGUACCCGAAGAGGAAGAGACGGCUAACUCUGUGCCAGCAGCCGCGGUAAUACAGAGGUCUCAAGCGUUGUUCGGAUUCAUUGGGCGUAAAGGGUGCGUAGGCGGCGCGGUAAGUCGGGUGUGAAAUCUCGGAGCUUAACUCCGAAACUGCAUUCGAUACUGCCGUGCUUGAGGACUGGAGAGGAGACUGGAAUUCACGGUGUAGCA
rnacentral:rRNA from 1 species